rnacentral:rRNA from 1 species
AUGGAGGCAGCUUUGAAUAUGUCACUCGAUGAUAUGAUUAAGAACAGAAGUGGGAGGGGAAGAGGAAGGGGAAGGGGACAAAGGGUUGGUCGAGGCCGAGGUGAUGGCCAAAGGUCAGGCAGAGGUGAUGGCCAAAGGCUAGGCCGUGGUUUAGGCCGUGGACGCGGUGCUGGAACCUUCCGUGGAAGGGGAGUGCCUUCCCAAAGGCCACUUGGUGUCAAUACUCGCUCGUCAUCGUAUGCUAUUGCCAAGUCAUUCAACAAAACAAAGGAUUUUGCAUGGACACAUGAUCGGUUUGAGGAUAGCAUGGUGGCUGCUGGACUUCCUGGGAUAGAAACUGGUACCAAGUUGUAUGUGUCAAACUUGCACUACGGAGUGACAAAGGAAGAUUUACAGGAACUUUUCUCUGAAAUGGGUCAUUUGAAGAACUGCAUUGUUCAUUAUGACAAUAAUAGACACCCAACUGGUUCAGCUGAGGUGAUAUUCACUAGGAGGAGUGAAGCUGUCCAAGCAUUGAAACGAUAUAAUAAUGUACGCCUUGAUGGGAAAGAAAUGAAGAUCGAAAUGAUUGGAGCAAAUUUGGGUUUGGCUGCUGCUCCUGCACCUCGUGUUAAUGUUGUUUCAGGCGCAAGAGGAAGAGGACAGAGAGAAGUUGUGAUGUCCCGUCCAAAUGGGUUUGGUCGAGGUGUGACUGACUCAUCUAGUUUUCUUCCUGGGUGGAAGCGCAACAACGGUUUUGCUCAGAGAGGAGGAUCGGUCCGUGGGCGUGGGCGUGGGCGUGGCCGUAGCAGCUUUGGUCGAGGUCGUGGACGUGGUGUCUACGUACGGAAGGGGUCGGUGAAAUCAGCUGACCAAUUGGACAAGGAGCUGGACACCUAUCAUUCUGGAGCAAUGAAUGUCGACUAA